UAUCAGAUUAUCUUAUAUGAGGACUGAGAUUUUCAUUCAUCUCAGAGACAGCAUGCGGAUGAACAACAUAAUUUGAGAGACAUUAACAUCUCACAGUGCAGCUAAAUAAGCAGAAGGUACUUUAAACCAAAGGCCAUUUUCAAAUUAGCAUUGAUUUUAGUACACAAUGGGCUUAAAAUCAGUCAAUAAUGUGUGAAAACAGAUCUGGUGUGUCAUAUGCAUGUGAUUAACAUGCAGUUAAAGCAUGCCCAUGAUUGUGAGCUUCCUUGUUCACUGAUGAAUUUCAGUUUUGCCAUUUCCUGUUAGUCCUAAACACACACAGAUUUUGCAGAACAUCUGCAUGAUAUUCUGCAAUGUAACUUAGAAGAUGUAACUGUUGACACAUGAACCCUUAGCUAUAUUUUACAUAAAGGACCAUAAUCUAAGUUGCCAGUGACCUCAAAGGGAUCUCCAGCAGGUGGGAGUCCAGUAACCAGGCUCAAGCAGUUUGCAUUCAGUUGUAUAUUUCCAUUUGGUGGCUGGCGCUAUUCUCUCGCCCACCAUUAGUUUCGCAUGGUAGGUCAUAGCAGAUUGUCUGUCAUACAAUCUAAUAACAACAAUGUAUUGAGACUUUUGAAAUAUUGUUUCUGUCACAGUCUAUCCAUGACCAGUCUUGUGAGUGUGUUGUGGUUUGGCCAGUCUCUCUGUGUGUGGUGUGGGUGUGGUCUUCCCAGGUUCCUGGCUCUCAGCACAGCUGCUGACUAUCUGCCAAUCAAGCCCUGGCUUAAAGACUCUGUACACCGGACUGUCAGUGCCAGAUUGUUGUUCUCACUUCAGUGCGCCUGGGAUCUCCGCUUGCUACACCAUUUGCCACUCCGCCCGCCACGCCAAGGCCACUACUACUGGACCUCUAGUCAACCACGCUAUCUUCGCUCCCGCAGACAAGCUCCGGAUCAUUCGCCGACACUAUUCCACUCAUUGUCUAUAUUAUCAUUAAAACCCUCUUCCGAACCUCA